CCUACGGGAGGCAGCAGUAAGGAAUAUUGGACAAUGCUCGCAAGAGUGAUCCAGCCAUGCCGCGUGCAGGAAGAAUGCCCUAUGGGUAGUAAACUGCUUUUGAACUAGAGAAAAUCCCAGUACGUGUACUGGGCUGAUAGUAUAGUUAGAAUAAGCAUCGGCUAACUUCGUGCCAGCAGCCGCGGUAAGACGAAGGAUGCAAGCGUUAUCCGGAUUCAUUGGGUUUAAAGGGAGCGUAGGUGGACUGAUAAGUCAGUGGUGAAAUCUCCGAGCUUAACUCGGAAAUUGCCAUUGAUACUGUUGGUCUUGAGUACAGUUGCUGUGGGCGGAAUAUGACGUGUAGUGGUGAAAUACAUAGAGAUGUCAUAGAACACCGAUUGCGAAGGCAGCUCACAAAGCUGUAACUGACACUGAGGCUCGAAAGUGCGGGGAUCAAACAGGAUUAGAUACCCUGGUAGUCCGCACCGUAAACGAUGAUUACUCGCUGCUAGGGGGCACCGUUUAGUGGCUUAGCGAAAGCGAUAGUUAAUUCACCUUGGGGAGUACGCCGGCACGGUGAAACGUUCAAGAGUUAGUUAGGCGGNGNGAGAGCGACGACGGACGACGACGGAGGAGGUAG
rnacentral:rRNA from 1 species